CUAGACGGCAGGAGGCCACAGCUCUGCUUCUUUCUUAAAGGCAGAAGUACUUUCAGCUGGCAUUUGUUCCUUCCAUCGCCUCACUCCUAAAGCCCGCCCCUCUGGGGCCACCUGACGCGAUGUUCUGCUGAAGACAGGAGGGAAACAUGGGAGGCGUCAGCACACCAAGACAGCUAUGUCCUCUUCCAAGCAAGCACAAGAGCCUCUGUGGCCCGUGCAUGAACAUAUCUGGUGACCACAUGCUUGCUACCAUGGUGGUAUGGCUGGUUCAUCUGUUCAUGAUAAGGGAACCCAGACACUGACAUGUUCAGUAUUGUAGCUGAGGUCCUAUCCCUAAGUACCAGACCAAG